GUCGAGCGGACAGAUGGGAGCUUGCUCCCUGAUGUUAGCGGCGGACGGGUGAGUAACACGUGGGUAACCUGCCUGUAAGACUGGGAUAACUCCGGGAAACCGGGGCUAAUACCGGAUGCUUGUUUGAACCGCAUGGUUCAAACAUAAAAGGUGGCUUCGGCUACCACUUACAGAUGGACCCGCGGCGCAUUAGCUAGUUGGUGAGGUAAUGGCUCACCAAGGCGACGAUGCGUAGCCGACCUGAGAGGGUGAUCGGCCACACUGGGACUGAGACACGGCCCAGACUCCUACGGGAGGCAGCAGUAGGGAAUCUUCCGCAAUGGACGAAAGUCUGACGGAGCAACGCCGCGUGAGUGAUGAAGGUUUUCGGAUCGUAAAGCUCUGUUGUUAGGGAAGAACAAGUACCGUUCGAAUAGGGCGGUACCUUGACGGUACCUAACCAGAAAGCCACGGCUAACUACGUGCCAGCAGCCGCGGUAAUACGUAGGUGGCAAGCGUUGUCCGGAAUUAUUGGGCGUAAAGGGCUCGCAGGCGGUUUCUUAAGUCUGAUGUGAAAGCCCCCGGCUCAACCGGGGAGGGUCAUUGGAAACUGGGGAACUUGAGUGCAGAAGAGGAGAGUGGAAUUCCACGUGUAGCGGUGAAAUGCGUAGAGAUGUGGAGGAACACCAGUGGCGAAGGCGACUCUCUGGUCUGUAACUGACGCUGAGGAGCGAAAGCGUGGGGGAGCGAACAGGAUUAGAUACCCUGGUAGUCCACGCCGUAAACGAUGAGUGCUAAGUGUUAGGGGGUUUCCGCCCCUUAGUGCUGCAGCUAACGCAUUAAGCACUCCGCCUGGGGAGUACGGUCGCAAGACUGAACUCAAAGGAAUUGACGGGGGGCCCGCACAAGCGGUGGAGCAUGUGGUUUAU
rnacentral:rRNA from 1 species